rnacentral:rRNA from 1 species
UACGUAGGGACCGAGCGUUGUCCGGAAUCAUUGGGCGUAAAGAGCGUGUAGGCGGCCAAUUAAGUCCUGCGUGAAAUCUCGGGGCUCAACCCCGAGCGGUCGUGGGAAACUGGUUGGCUAGAGUGCGGGAGAGGAGAGUGGAAUUCCUGGUGUAGCGGUGAAAUGCGCAGAUAUCAGGAAGAACACCCGUGGCGAAGGCGGCUCUCUGGACAUUUCCUGACGCUGAGGCACGAAAGCCAGGGGAGCAAACGGG